rnacentral:tRNA from 1 species
GGAGGGAAAGCUCAGUGGUAGAGUGCUUGCUUUAGUAUGCACGAGGUCCUGGGUUCAAUCCCCAGUACCUCCU